UACGAAGGGUGCAAGCGUUACUCGGAAUUACUGGGCGUAAAGCGUGCGUAGGCGGUUUGUUAAGUCCGCUGUGAAAGCCCUGGGCUCAACCUGGGAAUUGCAGUGGAUACUGGCAAGCUAGAGUGCGGUAGAGGAUGGUGGAAUUCCCGGUGUAGUGGUGGAAUGCGUAGAUAUCGGGAGGAACACCAGUGGCGAAGGCGGUUACCUGGAGCUUUGCUGACGCUGACGCGCGAAAGCGUGGGGAGCGAUCCGG
rnacentral:rRNA from 1 species